AAUACAUCGGAACGUGCCCAAUCGUGGGGGAUAACGCAGCGAAAGCUGUGCUAAUACCGCAUACGAUCUACGGAUGAAAGCAGGGGACCGCAAGGCCUUGCGCGAGUGGAGCGGCCGAUGGCAGAUUAGGUAGUUGGUGAGGUAAAGGCUCACCAAGCCUUCGAUCUGUAGCUGGUCUGAGAGGACGACCAGCCACACUGGGACUGAGACACGGCCCAGACUCCUACGGGAGGCAGCAGUGGGGAAUUUUGGACAAUGGGCGAAAGCCUGAUCCAGCAAUGCCGCGUGCAGGAUGAAGGCCUUCGGGUUGUAAACUGCUUUUGUACGGAACGAAACGGUUCUUUCUAAUAAAGAGGGCUAAUGACGGUACCGUAAGAAUAAGCACCGGCUAACUACGUGCCA
rnacentral:rRNA from 1 species